CGCAACUGUCACACACCGACUGAACGUCAAUCGAGACAUUGAGCCUGACAUGCGAUCGCGGUAGAUCCGCCAAAGAUACAGCACGAUGCUAUUGCAAACGUUCUACGGGUUCCACUGGACGAGCAACUCUAAAGUCAGCCCGACGAGCUACUACUCUGAUCAAGGUUGGACUGUCGCACUUAGAGGUUCCAUGCACCUAGCGAUGCCAGGCUCCACAUAAUCUUUCUUCACCCACUCGGCCAACCAUCGC